rnacentral:tRNA from 1 species
CGGAGUGUAGUAUACCGGUAGUACGCGCCCUUCGGGAGGGCGUAGACUGGGUUCGAUUCCCAGCACUCCGA